GACGGAGGAGGCAAGCGUUAUCCGGAGUCACUGGGCGUAAAGCGCGCGCAGGCGGCAACCUUAGUGUCGUGUGAAAGCCCCCGGCUCAACCGGGGGAGGCCAUGGCAAACUGGGUCGCUCGAGCUGCGGAGAGGCCCCUCGAAUUGCCGGUGUAGCGGUGAAAUGCGUAGAGAUCGGCAGGAAGACCAAGGGGGAAGCCAGGGGGCUGGCCGCAGGCUGACGCUGAGGCGCGACAGCGUGGGGAGCAAACCGG
rnacentral:rRNA from 1 species